GUUUGAUCCUGGCUCAGAUUGAGCGCUGGCGGCAUGCCUUACACAUGCAAGUCGAACGGUAACAGGGAGCUUGCUCCGCUGACGAGUGGCGAACGGGUGAGUAAUGUAUCGGAACGUACCUUUCAGUGGGGGAUAACGUAGCGAAAGUUACGCUAAUACCGCAUAUUCUGUGAGCAGGAAAGCAGGGGAUCGCAAGACCUUGCGCUGAUUGAGCGGCCGAUAUCAGAUUAGCUAGUUGGUGAGGUAAAGGCUCACCAAGGCGACGAUCUGUAGCGGGUCUGAGAGGAUGAUCCGCCACACUGGAACUGAGACACGGUCCAGACUCCUACGGGAGGCAGCAGUGGGGAAUUUUGGACAAUGGGGGCAACCCUGAUCCAGCCAUGCCGCGUGAGUGAAGAAGGCCUUCGGGUUGUAAAGCUCUUUCGGCCGGGAAGAAAUCGUAUGGGUUAAUACCCUGUGCGGAUGACGGUACCGGCAUAAGAAGCACCGGCUAACUACGUGCCAGCAGCCGCGGUAAUACGUAGGGUGCGAGCGUUAAUCGGAAUUACUGGGCGUAAAGCGUGCGCAGGCGGUUUUGUAAGACAGGCGUGAAAUCCCCGGGCUCAACCUGGGAACUGCGCCUGUGACUGCAAGGCUAGAGUAUGGCAGAGGGGGGUGGAAUUCCACGUGUAGCAGUGAAAUGCGUAGAGAUGUGGAGGAACACCAAUGGCGAAGGCAGCCCCCUGGGCCAAUACUGACGCUCAUGCACGAAAGCGUGGGUAGCAAACAGGAUUAGAUACCCUGGUAGUCCACGCCCUAAACGAUGUCAACUAGGUGUUGGGUGGGUAAAACCAUUUAGUACCGGAGCUAACGCGUGAAGUUGACCGCCUGGGGAGUACGGCCGCAAGGUUAAAACUCAAAGGAAUUGACGGGGACCCGCACAAGCGGUGGAUGAUGUGGAUUAAUUCGAUGCUACGCGAAGAACCUUAUCCUAGUCUUGACAUGCUUGGAUUAACUCCCUGAAAGGGGAGCCACACCCGCAAGGGUGGAACAAGCACAGGUGCUGCAUGGCUGUCGUCAGCUCGUGUCGUGAGAUGUCGGGUUAAGUCCCUUAACGAGCGAAACCCUUGUCACUAGUUGCCAGCGAGUAAUGUCGGGGACUCUAGUGAGACUGCCGGUGUUAAACCGGAGGAAGGUGGGGAUGACGUCAAGUCCUCAUGGCCUUUAUGACUAGGGCUGCACACGUCCUACAAUGCCGCGUACAAAGGGACGCAAAGUCGCGAGACCAAGCAAAUCCCAAAAAGCGCGGCCCAGUUCGGAUUGCAGGCUGCAACUCGCCUGCAUGAAGCCGGAAUCGCUAGUAAUCGCGGAUCAGCAUGCCGCGGUGAAUGUGUUCCUGAGCCU
rnacentral:rRNA from 1 species